rnacentral:rRNA from 1 species
UACGUAGGGUGCGAGCGUUGCCCGGAGUUAUUGGGCGUAAAGGGCGCGUAGGCGGCCACGCACGUCCGUUGUGAAAUCGCUCGGCUCAACUGGGCGGGGUCAGCGGAUACGGUGUGGCUGGAGGAAGCUAGGGGGAAAUGGAAUUCCCGGUGUAGUGGUGGAAUGCGUAGAUAUCGGGAGGAACACCAGUGGCGAAGGCGGUUGCCUGGAGCUUUGCUGACGCUGAUGCGCGAAAGCGUGGGGAGCGAACAGG